AGAGUUUGAUUCUGGCUCAGGAUGAACGCUAGCGACAGGCUUAACACAUGCAAGUCGAGGGGCAGCACGGGAGUAGCAAUACAACUGGUGGCGACCGGCGCACGGGUGAGUAACGCGUAUGCAACCUACCUAUCAGAGGGGAAUAACCCGGCGAAAGUCGGACUAAUACCGCAUAAAACAGGGGCACCGCAUGGUGAUAUUUGUUAAAGAAAUUCGCUGAUAGAUGGGCAUGCGUUCCAUUAGGUAGUUGGUGAGGUAACGGCUCACCAAGCCGACGAUGGAUAGGGGAACUGAGAGGUUGGUCCCCCACACUGGUACUGAGACACGGACCAGACUCCUACGGGAGGCAGCAGUGAGGAAUAUUGGUCAAUGGGCGGGAGCCUGAACCAGCCAAGUCCGCGUGAAGGAAGAAGGAUCUAUGGUUCGUAAACUUCUUUUGCAGGGGAAUAAAGUGCAGGACGUGUCCUGUUUUGUAUGUACCCUGAGAAUAAGGAUCGGCUAACUCCGUGCCAGCCGCCGC
rnacentral:rRNA from 1 species